rnacentral:rRNA from 1 species
UACAGAGGUCUCAAGCGUUGUUCGGAUUCAUUGGGCGUAAAGGGUGCGUAGGUGGCGCUGUAAGUCGGGUGUGAAAUUUCGGAGCUUAACUCCGAAACUGCAUUCGAUACUGCGGUGCUUGAGGACUGGAGAGGAGACUGGAAUUCAUGGUGUAGCAGUGAAAUGCGUAGAGAUCAUGAGGGAAGACCAGUGGCGAAGGCG